rnacentral:rRNA from 1 species
UAGGGAAUCUUCGGCAAUGGACGAAAGUCUGACCGAGCAACGCCGCGUGAGUGAAGAAGGUUUUCGGAUCGUAAAACUCUGUUGUUAGAGAAGAACAAGGACGUUAGUAACUGAACGUCCCCUGACGGUAUCUAACCAGAAAGCCACGGCUAACUACGUGCCAGCAGCCGCGGUAAUACGUAGGUGGCAAGCGUUGUCCGGAUUUAUUGGGCGUAAAGCGAGCGCAGGCGGUUUCUUAAGUCUGAUGUGAAAGCCCCCGGCUCAACCGGGGAGGGUCAUUGGAAACUGGGAGACUUGGGUGCAGAAGAGGAGAGUGGAAUUCCAUGUGUAGCGGUGAAAUGCGUAGAUAUAUGAAGGAACACCAGUGGCGAAGGCGGCUCUCUGGUCUGUAACUGACGCUGAGGCUCGAAAGCGUGGGGAGCAAACAGG